rnacentral:tRNA from 1 species
GGGGGUAUAGCUCAGUGGUAGAGUGUGAAGCACGAGGUCCUGGCUUCAAUCCCCAGUUCCUCCA